ensembl:snoRNA
AUGUCUGGAAAGUUGUGGGGAUAGUGGUGCCUUACAAAGUUCAGGGAAGAGUCUGGCAGGACACAGGCAGUCUCCUGGGUUUAGGAGAGCCGUCCUAAGACUAGAGCUGGCUCUUAAAGGCACAGAGGACAAU